CCUACGGGAGGCAGCAGUGGGGAAUCUUGCGCAAUGGGCGAAAGCCUGAUGCAGCGACGCCGCGUGAGGGAUGAAGGCCUUCGGGUUGUAAACCUCUUUCGACAGGGACGAAGCGAAAGUGACGGUACCUGGAGAAGAAGCGCCGGCCAACUACGUGCCAGCAGCCGCGGUAAGACGUAGGGCGCGAGCGUUGUCCGGAUUUAUUGGGCGUAAAGAGCUCGUAGGCGGCUUGUCGCGUCGACUGUGAAAACCCGCGGCUUAACUGCGGGACUGCAGUCGAUACGGGCAAGCUAGAGUUCGGUAGGGGAGACUGGAAUUCCUGGUGUAGCGGUGAAAUGCGCAGAUAUCAGGAGGAACACCGGUGGCGAAGGCGGGUCUCUGGGCCGAUACUGACGCUGAGGAGCGAAAGCGUGGGGAGCGAACAGGAUUAGAUACCCUGGUAGUCCACGCUGUAAACGUUGGGCGCUAGGUGUGGGGGGCCUCUCCGGUCCUCUGUGCCGCAGCUAACGCAUUAAGCGCCCCGCCUGGGGAGUACGGCCGCAAGGCUAAAACUCAAAGGAAUUGACGG
rnacentral:rRNA from 1 species